rnacentral:rRNA from 1 species
UACGAAGGGGGCUAGCGUUGCUCGGAAUCACUGGGCGUAAAGGGUGCGUAGGUGGCGCCGUAAGUCAGGUGUGAAAUUUCGGAGCUUAACUCCGAAACUGCAUUUGAUACUGCGGUGCUUGAGGACUGGAGAGGAGACUGGAAUUUACGGUGUAGCAGUGAAAUGCGUAGAGAUCGUAAGGAAGACCAGUGGCGAAGGCGGGUCUCUGGACAGUUCCUGACACUGACGCUCAUGCACGAAAGCGUGGGGAGCAAACAGG